AUUGAACGCUGGCGGCAUGCCUUACACAUGCAAGUCGAACGGCAGCACGGGAGCAAUCCUGGUGGCGAGUGGCGAACGGGUGAGUAAAGCAUCGGAACGUGCCCAGUCGUGGGGGAUAACGUAGCGAAAGCUACGCUAAUACCGCAUACGAUCUGUGGAUGAAAGCGGGGGACCGUAAGGCCUCGCGCGAUUGGAGCGGCCGAUGUCAGAUUAGGUAGUUGGUGAGGUAAAGGCUCACCAAGCCGACGAUCUGUAGCUGGUCUGAGAGGACGACCAGGCACACUGGGACUGAGACGCGGCCCAGACUCCUACGGGAGGCAGCAGUGGGGAAUUUUGGACAAUGGGCGCAAGCCUGAUCCAGCAAUGCCGCGUGCAGGAUGAAGGCCUUCGGGUUGUAAACUGCUUUUGUACGGAGCGAAACGGCUUCCACUAAUACUGGGGGCUAAUGACGGUACCGUAAGAAUAAGCACCGGCUAACUACGUGCCAGCCGCCGCCGUAAUAC
rnacentral:rRNA from 1 species